AGCGAACGCUGGCGGCAGGCCUAACACAUGCAAGUCGAACGGAUCCUUCGGGAUUAGUGGCGGACGGGUGAGUAACACGUGGGAACGUGCCCUUUGGUUCGGAACAACUCAGGGAAACUUGAGCUAAUACCGGAUGUGCCCUUCGGGGGUAAGAUUUAUCGCCAUUGGAGCGGCCCGCGUCUGAUUAGCUAGUUGGUGAGGUAAAGGCUCACCAAGGCGACGAUCAGUAGCUGGUCUGAGAGGAUGAUCAGCCACAUUGGGACUGAGACACGGCCCAAACUCCUCCGGGAGGCAGCAGUGGGGAAUCUUGCGCAAUGGGCGAAAGCCUGACGCAGCCAUGCCGCGUGAAUGAUGAAGGCCUUCGGGUUGUAAAGCUCUUUCGCACACGACGAUGAUGACGGUAGUGUGAGAAGAAGCCCCGGCUAACUUCGUGCCAGCCGCCGCCGUAAGAC
rnacentral:rRNA from 1 species